GAUGAACGCUGGCGGCGUGCUUAACACAUGCAAGUCGAACGGAAAGGCCCAAGCUUGCUUGGGUACUCGAGUGGCGAACGGGUGAGUAACACGUGGGUGAUCUGCCCUGCACUUCGGGAUAAGCCUGGGAAACUGGGUCUAAUACCGGAUAGGACGAUGGGUUGGAUGCCAGUGUGGAAAGUUUUUUCGGUGUGGGAUGGGCUCGCGGGCUAUCAGCUUGUUGGUGGGGGAAUGGCCUACCAAGGCGUCGACGGGGAGCCGGCCUGUGAGGGUGUACGGCCACAUUGGGGCUGGGAUACGGCGCAGACUCCUAUGGGGGGCAGAAGUGGGGAAUAUUGUGCAAUGGGCGCAGGCCUGAUGCAGCGACGCCGCGUGGGGGGUGACGGCCUUCGGGUUGUAUACUCCUUUCGCUAGGGAGGAAGCGUUUUUGUGACGGUACCUGGAGAAGAAGCACCGGCUAACUACGUG
rnacentral:rRNA from 1 species